rnacentral:snRNA from 1 species
UGUAGCUGUAACUAUUAUUG